AACAAUGCAAGGUGCUGAAAACACAAAAGUGAGCAAAUUUUACAGUGGCCCCUGCUUCCACAGAAUGUACAAUGUACUGGCACACAUUGCAAGCUUCCUGAGGGCAGCUCUUCAUUCCUGGGUCCUUGGCAGAGUGCUUGGGACACUAUUUCUGUAUAAUGUGUGGAAGGGGAGAAAAUUAUAUAAUCUUUUUGCCACUCUCAUAAAUUCAUAAUUGAGUCACCCUUCUGAAACAAAA